AUUGAUAAUACUCACUUAGUAUUUCAGCAACAACUUCUUACCCUCUUCCAUUGGAUCUCUAAAUGGUUCCUGACUUCAUGAACAUGACCUCUUUUGCAACAUAUAACCAUCCUACAUUCCUCGUGGUGUCAGGAAAUGUAGAGGUGUCUGGAACCAAACACAGAGCAGCAGGGACAACGUAACAGCUGAUACUGACCUGGCUCGCAAGGAACUGGAUGAGACCAUUAGCACCAUGGAGACUGUACGCCCAGAGGCUGCCUUCAUCGUCGCUGGAAACUUUAAUAGAGUGUUGCAGUUUAAAGUCUCUCCAAAGUUUUGUCAACACAUCCAGGUGAGCACACAGAGAGAUAGCAUACUCAAUCACUACUACUCACCCUUCUGCAACGCUUUCAAAACGC